rnacentral:tRNA from 1 species
GCCGGGUUGCGUGAGCGGCCAAAACGAGCGGAUUGUAAAUCCGUCGCCUUCGGGUUACGGAGGUUCGAAUCCUUCACCCGGCA